GACGGAGGGUGCAAACGUUACUCGGAAUCACUGGGCAUAAAGCGCACGUAGGCGGCCCGCUAAGUCGGAUGUGAAAGCCCACGGCUCAACCGUGGAACUGCAUCCGAUACUGGCGGGCUCGAGGAUGGUUGGGGUGAGUGGAACUCCAGGUGGAGCGGUGAAAUGCGUAGAUAUCUGGAGGAACACCGGUGGCGAAAGCGGCUCACUGGACCAUCACUGACGCUGAGGUGCGAAAGCUAGGGGAGCGAACGGG
rnacentral:rRNA from 1 species